rnacentral:rRNA from 1 species
CCUACGGGUGGCAGCAGUGGGGAAUAUUGGGCAAUGGGCGCAAGCCUGACCCAGCAACGCCGCGUGAAGGAAGAAGGCUUUCGGGUUGUAAACUUCUUUUGUCAGGGACGAAGCAAGUGACGGUACCUGACGAAUAAGCCACGGCUAACUACGUGCCAGCAGCCGCGUUAAUACGUAGGUGGCAAGCUUUAUCCGGAUUUAUUGGGGGUAAAGGGCGGGUAGGCGGGAAUGCAAGUCAGAUGUGAAAACUAUGGGCUCAACCCAUAGCCUGCAUUUGAAACGGUAUUGCUUGAGUGCUGGAGGGGCAAGCGGAAUGCCGGGUGUAGCGGUGAAAUGCGGAGAUAGAAGGAGGAACACCGGUGGCGAAGGCGGAUGGCUGGACAGUAACUGACGCUGAGGCGCGAAAGCGUGGGGAGCAAACAGGAUUAGAUACCCUGGUAGUC